rnacentral:rRNA from 1 species
UGGGAAUUUUGGACAAUGGGCGCAAGCCUGAUCCAGCAAUGCCGCGUGCAGGAUGAAGGCCUUCGGGUUGUAAACUGCUUUUGUACGGAACGAAAAGCCUCUCUCUAAUACAGGGGGGUGAUGACGGUACCGUAAGAAUAAGCACCGGCUAACUACGUGCCAGCAGCCGCGGUAAUACGUAGGGUGCAAGCGUUAAUCGGAAUUACUGGGCGUAAAGCGUGCGCAGGCGGUUUUGUAAGACAGUGGUGAAAUCCCCGGGCUCAACCUGGGAACUGCCAUUGUGACUGCAAGGCUGGAGUGCGGCAGAGGGGGAUGGAAUUCCGCGUGUAGCAGUGAAAUGCGUAGAUAUGCGGAGGAACACCGAUGGCGAAGGCAAUCCCCUGGGCCUGCACUGACGCUCAUGCACGAAAGCGUGGGGAGCAAAACAGGAUUAGAUACCCUGGUAGUCCACGCCCUAAAACGAUGUCAACUGGUUGUUGGGGAUUUAUUUCUUCAGUAACGAAGCUAACGCGUGAAGUUGACCGCCUGGGGGAGUACGGCCGCAAGGUUAAAAACUCAAAAUG